UACGAAGGGGGCUAGCGUUGCUCGGAAUCACUGGGCGUAAAGGGUGCGUAGGCGGGUCUUUUAAGUCAGGGGUGAAAUCCUGGAGCUCAACUCCAGAACUGCCUUUGAUACUGAGGAUCUUGAGUUCGGGGAGAGGUGAGUGGAACUACGAGUGUAGAGGUGAAAUUCGUAGAUAUUCGCAAGAACACCAGUGGCGAAGGCGGCUCACUGGCCCGAUACUGACGCUGAGGCACGAAAGCGUGGGGAGCAAACAGGG
rnacentral:rRNA from 1 species